rnacentral:rRNA from 1 species
CAGUAGCCGCGGGAAUACGUAGGGCGCAAGCGUUAUCCGGAAUUAUUGGGCGUAAGGAGCUCGUAGGCGGUUUGUCGCGUCUGCCGUGAAAGUCCGGGGCUCAACCCCGGAUCUGCGGUGGGUACGGGCAGACUAGAGUGAUGUAGGGGAGACUGGAAUUCCUGGUGUAGCGGUGAAAUGCGCAGAUAUCAGGAGGAACACCGAUGGCGAAGGCAGGUCUCUGGGCAUUAACUGACGCUGAGGAGCGAAAGCAUGGGGAGCGAACAGGAUUAGAUACCCGUGUAGUCCCUGUCUCUUAUAA